UUUUGCUGCCGCAUGUCUAAUAGGUCUGGGCUUCAUAGAUCACCGCGGCCUCCAGCGGUCCAAUGAAGCACACGUGUCUUCCCAGGUCCUGGCAAUUGAGAGAGGGGUGGCUGUUGUCGCCACAUAGUAGCCCCGGCAUGUUGAGUUCCACGAGGCCUGACGCUGUGAGGCAGACGUGCGUCGAGGCCAGCUCUACUCUCCACCCGCUCACCUGCCGGGAAGGGGUCGGUGACAGAGAAACGGAGAAUUUCAGGUUCACAAACGGAGUCGUGUAUUUUAAGAGCUUUACUUAUUGUUCACUGGUCUCUUUGAAAUCUUCAGUAAAAAUAAAUUGUUAAGCUACAAA